UCCUCCAUUGAUAAAAUCGACAGAAUGCGCAGUUGCUCACGACAGUUGCUUUCCCGAGGGUUUUAACUUUUGCUGGUAAAGUUAUACUGAAUUUACUUCAGUCACGUGCAGCGUCUGUAUGUAUCAAUAUUUAUCCUAUCAUUUUUUAAUUAUUUAUAUAAAUAACCGGUUUAAAUAACCAUGACAAUCGACUUUGUGAAGGUCUAAACAUGGCGGUCAAUACAAGAUACGAUCGUUCUGCACAACAAGUCGAGGAAACCCUGCAGCUAGCAGGUAUUUCUCCGAAGAAAUUGAUCAACUCCACGCAGGUAUUGUACAGUAAUUUAAAGCAACAACCUCAGUUAGAUAAAAAAAAAUUGAUACUGGUGGAAAUGGACAAACACUUGAGCUCUUGCGUCCAGGAAGAUCAGGGAUUGUACUUCAAAAGUGGAAGCGAUGGUCACCUUGUCCUUUGUAGUAGUAUCAAAACUUAUGAAGUUAAAGAGGCAGAAAUGUCGAAUUCACUCAUUCUAAUUCCUGAAUUGAAAUUGUCAGAGGAAAUUGAAAAGAUGGGCAACGAUGGGGAGAGGGAGGUAGAGAGGAUUAAUGUCGAGCGGAUUUUUUACACGUAUUAUGAGCUUCGAGAGUCCAGACCCCAAUUAGGACAUUUAUUGGGGAUUCUGGGUGCUUCAUGUUUCAAAGGUAUAGAAUAUGAGGGCCAAAUUGACAAGUCGUCUCUAUAUAAUUGGGAGAGGCUUCGUAAUAGUGUCCAAAUGAGUGAUGGAGAAUUGAGAAAUGCACUCUCGGAAAAUCUAGUAGCUGAGAUCGAUGGUCAUUAUCGUUUAAUUGCUUUCGAAUAUGAAGCACGAGCCCUGACUCUAAUGCUAGAUUUUAUGGAGGAGAACUCCUGGCCACCUGAUGAAAUCGACAAAGAGGAAACUUUCGAGGCACUCGAGGAGCUGAUUCCCCGGGCGGUUUUCGAUCUGAUCUUUACUAAAUACACAACGGCGAGUGCAAAGAAGUCAACUGAAAACCGUCUGCUGUAUGCCUACGAGACAGAGAAUGUGUGCCAGUUACUGGCCAAGGUGUUGCUGGCCGCCUCUCCUAGGAAUGCCUAUGACAAGUUUAUGGAGGCAUGGAGAAUCGGAGUACCAGAAACCAUGAAGCCAAAGGAGAGGUACUUGAAUGGUCUGGCAGUCAUUGAAUAUAACAGGGAAAGAGGACGAAAGGAGAUUGUAGCUUUCCCUGAGUCUAGCCUCGCCGAAGAAAUCCAGGAACGAUUUAAUCAACUCUUCCAGGCCAAAGACAAGUGGACGAUUGACGAAAUAGCACCGUAUAUUUUACGUCUGACUACCCAGGGCUCUAACGUCACUGCUCUUCUCACGAAAUACGCGAGGUCUUCCACGCUGAAUGGAGUCAAGUAUUACAGCUCGAAACAUGGUAAAUGGCCACACUGACGUCUUCCAUCUCCAGUGCCUUAUCAUAUAAAUCAUGGAGCGUGAAUACACUGGCGUUCGAGCCACUUAUAAAGCUCAACGUUGAUGAGGCAAAUGGAUACACCCCUCGCUCCUUCCGCGCAAUCUCUAUCCCCUGACAAUUAUCAUACAGCAUGUUUUGAAUAUAUAAUUACACAGGUCUCGGUGAAAUGUCAGAUGAAUACCGAACUGAGAAGGAUUAAUGGAUCAACGAGUGUACAAUUACGAUUAUAAAAAAUCUGAGAGAAAUUUGAGAGAGAAAAUACCCCAUACGUCAAUACAAGUGCGAAGAAAUGUUUUUGUUGGGCUCACAGGAGGUUUAUAGUAUGAGUUAAUUGCGACUGAUAUUAUCCAAACGUUUAUGAUUCGUCAUAGAUUGUGCAUUUAGAAAAAGAAAUUUUUAUUUCACCAAGCCUUUCCCAUUGAAACACGUAUGAACCCUUUUUCCCUCCAUCAGUGUUGCUAAAAGCCUUGAAAAACUUACGCCCGCUAUUAAUUCACCGAAUCACCGUACAAUACCCUUCACUUAAUAUUUAUGAUCUCUCUAUCCCGAGCCUCCGUAAUUCAUCUUCUGAGAAAUCUCCAACGACGCCAACUCUCAUCCGCAAAACCUCAAUCCUCAGUCAAGCGUCAACAUGACAUUUUUUUCCCCAUCCGUCGGCGGUUAAUUAAUCCCCCAGCAUUAAUAAUGAUGAUGCGAAACGAAUGCACGUUCUAAGCAUCGCGGAUAAAUUUCAAUUUCUCCGUUGAUUUUUCUCCCCCUCCUGAUUCGUCUCCAACUUUUUUUUUUGCAAUCUGGUGAUGUCUGCCCGGUUCCAUCGCAUCUUGAAUAAUUUAUAAAAUCCGUGCGGGGCACUCAUGAGGCCGCGAUCAGUGCAGAAGGGGGGAGGUGGGGUGACUUUCACGAAUCGAAAGAUCGUGUAUGUGUGUUCCCUUGGUCGACUAAAAGUUAAAAAGUGCCGCCUUACAACGAUAACCCACAGGCGCUUUUAUAAUUAGGCUAAGAAAACGAAUUGCGACUGACAUCCAUAUCGACUACCUUAACUCAAAACCUUAACUAACGAGCCUACGUUCCAUUCGAUUGGCCACGAAUAAAUCUUCAACUCUGGGGUAUCUGCGCCAUUAUCGUAAAUCUUCCCGCCAUCGUCGCCGCUGCAAGUCCCCGUCGACGCGCAUGUGUGUGUGUGUUAAUACAUACGUGUGGAUUUUUUCUUCCUUCAUUUUCCGGAUUUUUUUUUCGCGAGAUUCGUAUGCUCCACGGACUACUUCGCGGAUAAACCUUUCGUUUAGCUAUUUACAUCCAUCAUCAAUCACCGGGUUAUGUUGGAACAUUAAAAUGGCGCGCGAACGAUCGUUUGAAGUCACGCGCACACCUCGAGUUCUGGUCAAUAUUUCAUGGGCAAUAUUUGAGAGUGAAGUUACAAGACUAGGGCUGAAGGGGUAUGGUGAUGGUGUAGAAGUUAUGGGUGCGAAAAGAGCUUUUCCAGCAUAUUGUCCGGAAAGUUAACUUCGUCGUCAAACUGAGCUUCGCAUCACUUGUCCAAAAAAAUUAUUUUCCCUAGGGCGUGAUAAGACACUAGUACAGUUGGUACUAAGGAUAAAAUAUAAUUGAACUACAAUAAAUAAAGCGAUUACGAACGAACCCCUCGGUUGAAUAACCAGAUAAGAGGCGUUCAAUCGGCGGCAAAGUACUCGGUGUUGGCCACGAUUCUCCGCAAAACAUCGAUUGUACAACAUCAAUUAAAUUGUACGAAUUUUGGAGUGGGGGUUGUGAAAUGCCUGGCAUGCCGCACCAAAUAAAUUCUCCUGCUCCACUCUCACAUAUACAUUUUCAUUUAAUGCAGUGAGGUAACGAACACUGUGAUAGAAUGAAUACUGGGAAUAAAUUAAUGGUCUGGAAAGGCGACGGACGACGGAACGAGUCAACGAUUUUGUGUUGUUUCAAUUACAAUUCACCAAAUGAAAUCGGUGGAUUAUUAGUGGAGGGUACGAUAUCAAAUAUGCAGAGGGGGAAUAAAAUCAUGGCUAAAUUGUGGAACAUUUUCGAGUGACGAGAUUGACCAUAAAACUGAUCAUUUUUAUGCCAUAAAAAUCGCAAAGCUCGCGAUGACUCUUUUAGCUAUUGUGACUCUAGAGAAAUAGAAAAAAUAUAUAUAUUCCUGUUUAUCUUAUAAAGCUAGACAAUUAAUUCUUUCAACAUUUAUCAUUGGUUGAAAAAAUAAAAUUCCAUCAAUCCAGACGUGCUUGAUGCCCGACGAAGCGUGAUAAACCCGAGAUAGGCGUCUGUCAGGGUCCCAUCGCCGUCGGCGACCAUUCGAAAAUGUUUACGAAAGUGAGCCCCGUGGUGAAAUGAAAUUACUUUAGCAUUGCGCCCUUGGGUGCCUCCCAGUGAAUACAUAUCCUUGGCUUUUAAAAUAAAUGCCUACAAUCCAUACAAGGAGGAAGUAUGCGAUGCACCUGGCAAGCGUUUAUCUGCAUGCCUGGAGGCCAGUGUCCAUCAUUGGUGAAGGUAAAGAGUGGGUGGAUUAUACCCGGGAAAUUGCACGAAACAAGUAAUAAGUUUGAAAUGUUACAUUGGAGGAUUAAUAAUGCUAGAGUUGCUCAACUCCAAAAAGGAACUUCUGCGCGCAGGGGGAGGGGUCGAACUGAGAUUUCAUGGGAUUUUGGCUUCAGCCGGCGGGGUCUGCUGCCAGUAACAAGUCUUGUCAGUGGUUUUACGGAGGGUUAAGGGUCAGAUCGUCCUUUCACUUAAACCUCUGAAGAGUUUAGGCUCCAGUUACUGAUGUUCAGAUAUUAAUUACUCGUCACAACGGACAUGAUAGGGAUUCGAAAGCGAAAGAAAAACAAUAUUGAGAAUAGUUUUGAAUUAUGUUGAAAAUUUACGAACACUAAAAUUUUCCGUUUUUUUCGGAAAAAUCGCUCAUAAGAAUUUACCGUUGCUUUUAAACUUUCACAAUUUUUAAAUAAUGUAAAUAAUGUUUCUUGAAUUUCUUCGUUAUCAGCCGGUGACAGGAAAGCUCCACGGUUAACUCCACAGAUGUCUGCACCAGUUCUUGAAGUUCGUUUAGGAAUGGGUGUUUAUUAGAGUAUUGGAUAUUUAUCAAAAAAUCAAUGUUUUAGUCAUAUCUCGGUCGACUAUCACUCUCUCGGACAGGAACUAAUCAAUUAAUGACAUGUCAAGAAUGAUUUAUCAAUAUUUCCAACUGCCUCCAAUGACCAGUUACAAAAAGACCACGAAUAAAAAAAUAAACAGCUGGAAUAAAAAAAACAAGGUGAACGUGGAUACAAAUUAUAGUGCUGCGAUCGGCGUUUAUGUAGGCGCUCUAGACCUGUAAUCGUAUCAUCGAUCGCGACGAUAAUUACAAUAACAAGCGGUCAUUUCAUCAGGCAACGAAUCGUUUACGCACCCGUUGCCACCAUUCGUUCUGGAUAAAAUAUGCGUCAAUUUCCCAACAUUGGACAGGACAUGAAAGAGCCUCGAUACAGAUAUUGAUGUGUUAUUCAUUACAAGCAUAGAUAGACUUUAGUGUAGACAUCUGUUGAGUCUUGCGGUGAGGGUAUCAACGCUCAGACGUUGUAUUUCAUAGUCCGCGUCGAUUAUUCACACGCCAACAAUUGCCCCAGAAACUCGACACUUAAGUCACUGUCAUUGCUUUAUGUGCACUUGUUCAGAAAUUGAGUUACAACUAUUCCCUUUAAAUUGAAACACUUACUGUUUACUUCCUAAACUUAUUUAAAUAAAAAGUGCGCUUGGUGGCGCCACGCGGAAAUUCCCGCUACCGGACAACUCACGUCACAAGUCGCUUUAACAUUAAAAUAAAAAUAUAAUCAAAUUGAAUAUAGUAAAACAACUCCACAAAGUGCCUAUUUCGCCAUCACCAGAACGUGAGAAAUAGUGCAAUUGAUUUUCCAAAAUCAAUCGGGCGGAGCCGAGGCAGUUGUCUGAUGAAGAUUGGUAUCAAUCGGCUGACGGUUGAAUCCCAGGAUUGACCGGUAUAUACUUAGUGAAUCACCAAGCAGUUCUAGGUGAAAAUCCAUGGAGAAAUACAGAGUAGUGCUGUGGCAUGCCACAGGGUCGCAUUCAACCCUGGGCUAUCGAGUCCGGAUCACGUCACGUGGUGUCGGAUCGCGUUACGCUCUCGACACUGAUCGGAGAUUAGCUCCCCGAUUGCAUUCAAAUCACGCACAAAGAGCUCAACUCAAGAGAGAAGAAGGAGGGGGCAUUUUGGAUUUGGCCAGGGGUGAAACGAUAGCUGUAGAGAGAAGUGUACGUGAAGUGGAAGAACAAGGGGAAAGAAUAAUCAGCCAGGAAAUGUGUUAUGUCUUUGUUUACGUAAUCUUUCAUCUUUUAUGAGGAAUAAAAAAAUUAAUUGAUGUGGAUGAUGCAA